AACCAAAUUAUAUAUAUUUAAUUUCUCACUUAUGGUUACUACUCUGUAUUAAGUUAUUAUGGUUUACAAAUGUUUCAAACCUUAGCUUAGCAGAUGCUUCCAUUGUAAAAUAUCCUAUGAGUUUCAAUUAUUUGAGACUCUAGACAGGACUAUAAAGUUUAAAACGUUAAACUCUUUGUCUGAAAAGUAUUAUCAAGUAUUAACUUAUCAACCAUA